UACGAGGGGGGGCUAGUGUUGUUCGGAAUUACUGGGCGUAAAGCGCACGUAGGCGGGUUGUUAAGUCAGGGGUGAAAUCCUGGAGCUCAACUCCAGAACUGCCUUUGAUACUGGCAACCUAGAGACUGGAAGAGGUUAGUGGAAUUCCCAGUGUAGAGGUGAAAUUCGUAGAUAUUGGGAAGAACACCAGUGGCGAAGGCGGCUAACUGGUCCAGCACUGACGCUGAGGUGCGAAAGCGUGGGGAGCAAACAGGAUUGAGAUACC
rnacentral:rRNA from 1 species